rnacentral:misc_RNA from 1 species
GAUGAAGAACGUAGCGAAAUGCGAUAAGUAAUGCGAAUUGCAGAAUUUCCGUGAGUCAUCGAAUCUUUGAACGCACAUUGCGCCCAUUAGCAUUCUAGUGGGCAUGCCUGUUCGAGCGUCAUUUCAACCCUUAAGCCCUGUUGCUUAGCGUUGGGAGCCUACAGUACUGUAGCUCCCCAAAGUUAGUGGCGGAGUCGGUUUCACACUCUAGACGUAGUAAUUUUUUCUCGUCUGUAGUUGAGCCGGUCCCCUGCCGUAAAACACCCAAUUUAUCAAGGUUGACCUCGGAUCAGGUAGGAAUACCCGCUGAACUUAAGCAUAUCAAUAAGCGGAGGA